CUUUUAUAGGUAUUUCAGGACAGCCAGGCGGGGGUGUAUGUCUGCCGAGAAACUGAGCAAGAGUAUCUGUGCUGCGCUCUGGCGCCACCAGAGGGCGCGUGAACCCACCCCUGACUAACUUCCCUCUGAGGUGCCAGAAGCAGCGAGGAGCUUCGACUUCCUCAGGGCAGCAUGAGGGUCGUAUCAACUAACUGUUGUUCACUGGGUCUCCUGAAUAACAUCCUUCCUUGAAGGUAAUUAUAUAUAUUUAUUUUUAUUCACUAACUUUAUAUUAUAUAAAAUAUAUAUGAUUUAUUAGUUAUUUUCUUCUAAAACCCAUUCAGCCUACCACUGAAAUGGAAGAUCCUGUUGUGAGAGAAGCAGUACAAAGAAAGAAUGUACAGGCAUCAAGAGCAGGGUUGCAGAAUUACCAGCAAUCCUCUUCCUGCCACCCAGGGCAGGCCUGUCCGCAGCAGAAGGUCAUGAGGCUGGUCGACCUGUGAAAAUGAGCUGAGCUGAGGUAAGAGAGAUAUACUGAGUUCAGUCCCCAGUUCUAAGUCCCGAGGCUCAGGUUUCUGAAGCUCAUCU
rnacentral:lncRNA from 1 species